AGUGAACGCUGGCGGCAGGCCUAAUACAUGCAAGUCGAACGGCAGCACAGUGGAGCUUGCUCCAUGGGUGGCGAGUGGCGGACGGGUGAGGAAUACAUGGGAAUCUGCCCAGUCGUGGGGGAUAACGUAGGGAAACUUACGCUAAUACCGCAUGCGCCCUUCGGGGGAAAGCCGGGGACCUUCGGGCCUGGCGCGAUUGGAUGAGCCCAUGUUCGAUUAGCUAGUUGGCGGGGUAAAGGCCCACCAAGGCGACGAUCGAUAGCUGGUCUGAGAGGAUGAUCAGCCACACUGGGACUGAGACACGGCCCAGACUCCUACGGGAGGCAGCAGUAGGGAAUAUUGGACAAUGGGCGCAAGCCUCAUCCAGCCAUGCCGCGUGAGUGAAGAAGGCCCUCGGGUUGUAAAGCUCUUUUGUCCGGGAAGAAAAGCAUCGGGCUAAUACCUCGGUGUUCUGACGGUACCGGAAGAAUAAGCACCGGCUAACUUCGUG
rnacentral:rRNA from 1 species